UACAGAGGGUGCAAGCGUUAAUCGGAAUUACUGGGCGUAAAGCGCGCGUAGGCGGCUGUCUAAGUCGGGUGUGAAAGCCCCGGGCUCAACCUGGGAACUGCAUUCGAUACUGGACGGCUAGAGUAUGAGAGAGGGAGGUAGAAUUCCACGUGUAGUGGUGAAAUGCGUAGAUAUGUGGAGGAAUACCGGUGGCGAAGGCGGCCUCCUGGUUCAAUACUGACGCUGAGGUGCGAAAGCGUGGGGAGCAAACAGG
rnacentral:rRNA from 1 species